UGGUGGAGUGAUUUGUCUAGUUAAUUCCGAUAACGAACGAGACUCUGUCCUGCUAACUAGGUUGUGUUUUCUCGGGUUGGUGUUUCUGGUGUUCCUUCUCGGGGCGCCGGCCCAAUCCACUUGUGAACACAACACUCUUCUUAGAGGGACUGGCGGCUGUUAGCCGCACGAGAUAGAGCAAUAACA
rnacentral:rRNA from 1 species